rnacentral:rRNA from 1 species
CCUACGGGAGGCAGCAGUGGGGAAUAUUGGACAAUGGGGGAAACCCUGAUCCAGCGACGCCGCGUGAGUGAAGAAGUAUUUCGGUACGUAAAGCUCUAUCAGCAGGGAAGAAAAUGACGGUACCUGACUAAGAAGCCCCGGCUAACUACGUGCCAGCAGCCGCGGUAAUACGUAGGGGGCAAGCGUUAUCCGGAUUUACUGGGUGUAAAGGGAGCGUAGACGGCAGCGCAAGUCUGGAGUGAAAUGCCGGGGCUCAACCCCGGAACUGCUCUGGAAACUGUGAAGCUGGAGUGCAGGAGAGGUAAGCGGAAUUCCUGGUGUAGCGGUGAAAUGCGUAGAUAUCAGGAGGAACACCAGCGGCGAAGGCGGCUUACUGGACUGUAACUGACGUUGAGGCUCGAAGGCGUGGGGAGCAAACAGGAUUAGAUACCCUUGUAGUC